rnacentral:rRNA from 1 species
GGAAGGGGUGUAUUUAUUAGAUAAAAAACCAAUGCCCUUCGGGGCUCCUUGGUGAAUCAUAAUAACUUAACGAAUCGCAUGGCCUUGCGCCGGCGAUGGUUCAUUCAAAUUUCUGCCCUAUCAACUUUCGAUGGUAGGAUAGUGGCCUACCAUGGUAUCAACGGGUAACGGGGAAUUAGGGUUCGACUCCGGAGAGGGAGCCUGAGAAACGGCUACCACAUCCAAGGAAGGCAGCAGGCGCGCAAAUUACCCAAUCCCGACACGGGGAGGUAGUGACAAUAAAUACUGAUACAGGGCUCUUUUGGGUCUUGUAAUUGGAAUGAGUACAAUUUAAAUCCCUUAACGAGGAACAAUUGGAAGGCAAGUCUGGUGCCAGCAGCCGCGGUAAUUCCAGCUCCAAUAGCGUAUAUUAAAGUUGUUGCAGUUAAAAAGCUCGUAGUUGAACCUUGGGCCUGGCUGGCCGGUCCGCCUCACCGCGUGUACUGGUCCGGCCGGGCCUUUCCUUCUGGGGAACGCAUGUCCUUCACUGGGCGUGCCGGGGAACAGGACUUUUACUUUGAAAAAAUUAGAGUGUUCAAAGCAGGCCUUUGCUCGAAUACAUUAGCAUGGAAUAAUAGAAUA